CCCAAACAGAUAUCAGUGAUAUAUUCCAUUUUUCAGUGGCAUUCAUAACUUUAUGUUAAUUUCAAAGAGACAACAUUAUUUAGUUUGUUAACUUUUGGUCAUUUGAUCUACCCCCCCUCCCCCACACAAAAGACUCCUUCAAAAUAACAACAAUGUAUUUGUUUAAGGAUAUUUGUUAUUUGUUGUGGCUCAAAUGUGCGUUCGUAAAAUAAAUCAUAAAUAGAAACACAUCUCACUAAAGUGACCCCAUGUUGGCUCUUCUACCUGUUCUUGUCAUAGCAGGUAGGCCACAUUUAAGAAAUGUUGAAACGGUUGAUCUGGAUCAGAAUUAAUCAAUCCAAUGUUGCUUUAAAAAAAAUGGCAUAAAAGUAAAACGGAUUACCAGAUAGCAAAAAAUCUGAAUUAUUUUAUCCAAAUGACAUUUUUUUGAAGAACUGUCCCCAAAUAUGAGGAAUAUCUCACAGUAUCAUUAAGUACAAUUCUAAACCACUGCAAGUUACAACCACAAAAACAAACAAUGUCUAUGCUGAGAGCAUGAAACAGGCCACAUCUGACCUUGACAUAGUCAAACUACUUUUUUUUUGUUACCAGCAGCUUGCUACAUCUACCCUAGAUAUGUCGCUUCCCUGCUUGGAACAUAUGGAACAGCCCGAGGGGAAGUGAUGGGGCCUGGGGGUCAUUCUGCCAAAAUGGAACUGGACCAUUUACAUGGCAUGGCCACUUACAGGAUGAAGUUGGGCACUUUUCACCAUCAGCCUCUUCACAGGAAACCGUGUAGGAUGGAUGCAAAGGAGACAGAGGACAUUUGAGACACAAGAUGUGUGAUAAACAUCAUGUAUGAACACGCACGCACGCACUCACAUACACACGCAUGAGAUAGGAGGCCCAGAAGAACAUGAUGCAUUAAUGAACUGACAAGUCCCUGCCAUCUGUCUGCCUUCUGCUUUGUCGAAGCCCAUAACGUCAUAACAGCCCGUAACGUAAUAGCGACCCAUACCAUAAUUAAUAUUUCCUUUUUAAAAUGUGAUAAAAGUCCCGAACCUAGAACACAAAAACAUCUUUAUAAAUGUAAUAACCAAUCCCAUAAUUUAUUAAUAUACUACCAUCACUUUAUUAUUAUUUAGAUUCUUUGAUAUAAACGAUGAAAAUGCAUGCUCUCUUGUUUCCUUGUCUCUAUUUGUACUAUUUGCUUGUUUCACUUAAUGCUUAGAGAUAUUAUGUCUAAGACUACCCUUGGUCCCUUGGUAACAUUGAUGGACAGAAUUUCCAAUUGUGUUCCCAAGACAUUUUGACAUAACCUGAAAGGCUAAGGAGCAGCUGACAGAACUCGAGGUCAUGCUAACCAUCAACGUAAAGAGACAAAUACAUGGAGCAAGGGAGACCGAGUGGGAGAGAGAGAAAGAGAGACAGACAGAUGCAUUUUCGCAGUGAGAGGAUAUUGAAACAUCAGAAGUUAAAUCAAGCAAUAUUUGCGUGUUAUUACGCUAUGGGCUCAGUUAUUACAUUUUAAAUGGUUUUUGUUUUUUCCCGUUCCUGAUCAAAUGUUAUUACGUUUUAAAUUCAAGGCUUUUAUUACGGUAUUGGUCAGUUAUUAUGUUAUGGGUCUAUUACAGUAAAAAAACAACACACACACACACAUUUAUUAUGGUAUGGCCUGUUAUUACAUUAUGGAGUUCUAUAUUUCACUCAUCCUGCUCCCUUUAUUUUUUUCUCAUGGACCAAGAUGCAUUGGACUUCAGCCAAGCUCCCCCCAAAAAUGAUACUGAGACUUCUAUCAUCUAUUAAGCCACUUUUUGUUCCAAGGGACCUCUGUAGAUUAAUUGCACAUUAGACUAAUUAGCAGAGUGCCUCAUUUUCCUUCUUUGACUUUAUUAAUAUUCUUUGCACCAAAAUUCACAUGCAGAGGUGGGCGGUACACCCAUGCAAUCGAGUCUCUAAAUUUCACAGCAUUUCUCUUUCUCUUUGCCUGAACUGCUUCCAAUUGUGAAUUUGUAAGAUGGAGUUUGUAGCUUUCAGAAUCAGCACUGCUGGCUGAUGGAACUUAAACAACAUGAGCAGUGGGAUUAUUUAUUAAACCAAUCAGAUUGGAAAUUCAUCAUCAUUGGCUCUUGGUGUCAGAAUUUGCUUGGUGAGUACAAGCCAUUUUCAUAUUAAUAUAAACAGCCAUGGGGGGAAAAAAAGACCACUUGUGUUUCUUCAUUUCUUGGUGCUUUUAAAUGCCUAAUGCAACUAAAGGUACAUUUGUUUGGACCACUCUAUUGAUGACAACAAAACAGCUCAUAUGCAUCCAAUUUAAGAUCAAAACAGUUUCCAAAAGGCUCUUUUGAUAAUAACCAAAAUCACUUAAGUUCUUACAUCAAUGUAAAGCCAAAAACGGUGCUAUUAGGCAUUGCGUGUUUCCUUUUGUGUCAGUUUGUCGCUUGAUACACUCUGAGUGGCACCAAACAUGAAACUCAGCAAGAAAUGAAAGAAAACAAAGUGGUCUCUUAAUUUUGUUUCAUGGCUGUAUUUAUGUAACAUUCAUCAUUGACAGUGAAUAAAAGGUAUUUUAUUAAAAUCGUUUUGUCAUUCCAUCUGGACUGCUUUGAAGUGGCUGAGAUGCGAGUUGUUAGAUUGUUUUUUAUUUUUAUUUUUUAAAUCCAUGCAUAUUUUAUACUGCUUAUCCUGAAUAGGGGCGCAGCGGACUUCAGGGACCCUGGAUUGGUCACAGGUCAAUUGCAGGGCACAAAUACAGUAGAAACCCCCAAAAACCGUACACUCAUAUCUAUGGAUGAUUCAGAGCAAGGGUACCCAAUAUCCAUCCAUCCAUUCCAUUUUCCGAGCCGCUUGAUCCUCACUGGGUUGCGGGGGGCGCUGGAGCCUAUCCCAGCCGUCUUCGGGCAGUAGGCGGGGGACACCCUGAAUCAGUCGCCAGCCAAUCGCAGGCUGCCCAAUAUGACAAUUGCGAUUAAAUCCACAUUGAAUGCCCACAAAUAACAUGGAUGUCCCACCUCUGGUCACACGUAACCCAAGGAUGCAACUGAAGAGUAAAAUAUUGACACAAUUGAGGAAAAAAGCUCUCGACAUGUAUAUGAAAUGGUUCAACUCCCUCAAUAGGAAUAAACAUAUUAUGUGGACCAGAUUGUGACACGUGAGUGGAUUUUCUCUCCCAUCUCAUUCGCCUCCCGCAAAAAACCCAAAUCCUAUCCCAUCCCAGUCCCAGAACAUCAUAAAAAUAAAAAUCCUGUCCCAUCCUGCUCCCGGUGAAAACAACUCUCACUCACAUGGCAUGGGAAUCUUGCAGGAUUCCUGAAAAAAAUCUAACAUCUCUCAACAUCGAAUGUGCACAUGUAUAACUGACCUCAACAAGCUGGCUUCCUGCCCAACCGGUCCCUUAUAAGCCACAUCUCUGCUCUUCGACUCAUUGUUGAGAAGGUCAGAGAGUUUUGGAAGGACCAACAUCUCUUUAUAGCUUUCAUAGCUCUUAAAGCUGCCCUUGACACAGUUGACCACCUCUCCCUUUGGAACAUAGUGAAGUACUUCGGAGUCCCACCCAAAAUAACCACAUUGUUCCAGCGACUCUGUGAGUUGUGUUCGUGUGAAUGGAAAGGACUCAGAGUGACUCCUCAUUAACAGCGGGGUCAGACAGGGCUGAGUGGCCGCUCCUGAUCUUUUUAACUGUGUCAUUGACCACCUCAUGAUUCGAAUCCGGAAGCAAGUCUCAGGCGUGUUAUUUGGCAACAUCCACCUGACCGACGUUGAACACGCUGACGACACCACCCUGUUAACUCCCUCCAACACCCCAGUAGUGCUCUCUCCAUAUACCAAACAGAAGCAGCAAAGCUGGGCCUCCAAGUAAACUGGCAGAAAACAAAACUUAUGUAUAUUGCUGACGGACCCCACCCUUCCCCCGUUUUUUGGCUCAGACGAAGUACAAUUCGUCGAUUCCGUCAUCUUCCUAGGCUCCACCAUGACAAGCAACGGCAAUCUCAAGCCAGAGAUCGACCGCAGACGCGGCCUUGCGGUUGCAGCUAUGCAUCUCGACUGGCCGCCCAGAGGAGCAUCUGCUUGGACAUCCCUUCCGAUCACCCCAGGAACACCCCACUCCUGCCAUCUUUUCAUUCGACCCAGCCACCGCCUGGCUGGAAAACCCACGCAAAAGACCCCACACCAGAUGGCUUGAUGUCAUCAGGGAGGAUCUCCAGCACCAAGGGCUUACCCUGAAGGAUGUGUAGUGUCUGUUUUAUAUUAGUAUUGUGCUACUUCAUAAAAUACGUUAGCUAAUCGUAGUAGAUAGAGAUAACGAGCAUGUGGUUGUCAAACAGAAAUGAAUAUGUCAAACAAACGUGAAACCAAGAAGCUAAUUGUAUAUUGAUGAAGCAUGUUAGCUACUUACAUGUCAAACAAAUGUGAAAAUGAGAAGCUAAUUGUAUAUUCAUGAAGCAUGUUAGCUACCUACAUGUCAAACAAAUGCAAGAAUUGGAGCGAAAUGCAUAUUAAUGAUACUUGUUAGUUGAUUACAUGUCAAAGAUGGAACAUGGAAGAUGGGACAUAACGUAUACUGAUGAUGCUUGCUAGCUAUUUCGUGAUGGCCCUCAGUAGAUUAGCAAAAUUACACUCCAUCGGAUUAGCUACACGCGUGUCGGUAACGACUGUGGUAUGUUCUCAGUAAUUACUUUAGGUUGCCAAGCCGACGAAGACACAAUCAAAUCUAAAGAUUCGUGUGCAUUGAGUUAGCAUGACUACGGGAAUACGAGAACAUCAGAAAUCCACAAGCAAUCACAUAAAGGCCCAGUAGGGGCCCCUAUUAUAUUUUUUACAACAAAACAAUUGUGACACCAUUAUAAUCCAAAAGCCAAGUUGUGAAGUAAUUGUAGAUACCAUUAAAAUCUAGCUAACGAAGAAAGCCGGAGCCAAUCAAAAUUACACAACGCAUUAUGAUACCAUUAAAUGAUCAAAUGAUCGUAGAAACUAACCAAUGAAAUGAGAGGGGUUGGCCCCUCAUAUCGCUAUAAAACCUGUGUGUAAUCUCGGGAGAAUUCAGAGUUUUUCCGAUGUGCACAUCUGUACCUCUCCGGGUUCUGAUUGAAUAAACUCGUUUGUGACCAGCCUCCA